CUAAUACCGUAUACCGCCCGUUACGGGGGAAAGUAUUUAUCGCUAUCAGAUCGGACCCGCGCUAGAUUAGAUAGUUGGUGAGUAUGGCUCACCAAGUCGACGAUCUAUAGCUGGUUUGAGAAGAUGAUCAGCCACAGUUGGGACUGAGACACCGGCCCAGACUCCUACGGGGAGGCAGCAGUGGGGAAUAUUGUACAAUGGGCGCAAGCCUGAUACAGCAAUGCCGCGUGAGUGAAGACGGCCUUAGGGUUGUAAAACUCUUUCGCCAGGGAAGAUAAUGACGGUACCUGGUAAAGAAGUCCCGGCUAACUCCGUG
rnacentral:rRNA from 1 species